AAAGAUAUUCGAAAAUUAAAAUUGUGAGGUUGGGUUAAAUUAAACUAGUGUGGUUAACAUUAAUGAGAAGAGAGGAAAAAUAGAGAUUGUUCAAGUUUCCAAAAAUUUCUGAAGAGGAAAAUAGAGAUGCAUAGGAGAGUAAACUGAUUUAGGUGUUUUCAUAUUCACCAGCGGCGAACGGCGGGGUUGUCGGCUGGGCCGUUCUUCAUCGUCGUCGGCGGUGAUUUGAUUCGUUGAGGGUGGCGUCUUCAUCGUCAACGUGGAUUUGAGUGAUCAUCAUGCUACACAAGUGCAUGUUGGUGGAGUUCAGUUUUAUUCUCAUUCUCCAGUGAACUUGGUGAAUGGAUUUGCAAUGUUCCCUCAAUUCCUUUUUUCAAACUUUUGAUUUGGUGGUUGAUGUGUCAUAGUUUAUGAGUCAUUUGAAUGAAGUUGAACGGAAUGCGAAGGUGAAGACAGUGGACAAUGAAGGGAUGCUGGACAAAAAGUUGCUAAUGAAGUCAUUUUUUGCUUAUUAUAAGACAUGUUUAUGUUGAUUACAUUUUUUUUUGUGGAUGUUGCUCGUUAAGAUGAUAUAUUGACAUUGUUAGAAAGUCACUUGUUGUGUGUGUCUAACUCCAAGGUAUGUGUAUGCCAAAUUUUGAUGCUUC